GAUGAACGCUGGCGGCGUGCCUAAUACAUGCAAGUCGAGCGAACAGACGAGGAGCUUGCUCCUCUGACGUUAGCGGCGGACGGGUGAGUAACACGUGGAUAACCUACCUAUAAGACUGGGAUAACUUCGGGAAACCGGAGCUAAUACCGGAUGAUAUAUUGAACCGCAUGGUUCAAUAGUGAAAGACGGUCUUGCUGUCACUUAUAGAUGGAUCCGCGCUGCAUUAGCUAGUUGGUAAGGUAACGGCUUACCAAGGCAACGAUGCGUAGCCGACCUGAGAGGGUGAUCGGCCACACUGGAACUGAGACACGGUCCAGACUCCUACGGGAGGCAGCAGUAGGGAAUCUUCCGCAAUGGGCGAAAGCCUGACGGAGCAACGCCGCGUGAGUGAUGAAGGUCUUCGGAUCGUAAAACUCUGUUAUUAGGGAAGAACAAAUGUGUAAGUAACUAUGCACGUCUUGACGGUACCUAAUCAGAAAGCCACGGCUAACUACGUG
rnacentral:rRNA from 1 species